UACGGGGGGAGCAAGCGUUGUUCGGAAUCACUGGGCGUAAAGGGCGCGUAGGCGGCGCGGUAAGCACGCGGUGAAAGCCCGGGGCUCAACCCCGGGUCGGCCGUGCGGACUGCCGCGCUGGAGCACUGUAGAGGCGGGCGGAAUUCCGGGUGUAGCGGUGGAAUGCGUAGAGAUCCGGAAGAACACCGGUGGCGAAGGCGGCCCGCUGGGCAGUGGCUGACGCUGAGGCGCGACAGCGUGGGGAGCAAACAGG
rnacentral:rRNA from 1 species